GGGGUUGUGGCUCAGUGGUAGAGCACUUGCCUAGCAUGUGUGAGGCACUGGAUUUGAUCCUCAUAACUACAAAAAAAAAAAAAAACAAAAACAAACAAAUAAACAAAAAACAAAUAAAAUAAACUAAAAAAACGUAUUUCAUCCAUAUAACUGACUCCUGGUACCUUUUAACCAAUAUCUCCUAUCCCUGUCUGCUAGGAGCCAAAAUUUUACUCUCUGCUUCUCUA
rnacentral:tRNA from 1 species